AGUGAACGCUGGCGGCAGGCCUAAUACAUGCAAGUCGAACGGCAGCACAGCAGAGCUUGCUCUGUGGGUGGCGAGUGGCGGACGGGUGAGGAAUGCAUGGGAAUCUGCCCAGUCGUGGGGGAUAACGUAGGGAAACUUACGCUAAUACCGCAUGCGCCCUUCGGGGGAAAGCCGGGGACCUUCGGGCCUGGCGCGAUUGGAUGAGCCCAUGUCGGAUUAGCUAGUUGGCGGGGUAAUGGCCCACCAAGGCGACGAUCCGUAGCUGGUCUGAGAGGAUGAUCAGCCACACUGGAACUGAGACACGGUCCAGACUCCUACGGGAGCAGCAGUAGGGAAUAUUGGACAAUGGGCGCAAGCCUGAUCCAGCCAUGCCGCGUGCAGGAUGAAGGCCUUCGGGUUGCAAACUGCUUUUGUACGGAACGAAACGGUGAGCUACUAAUAAAGCUUGCUAAUGACGGUACCGUAAGAAUAAGCACCGGCUAAC
rnacentral:rRNA from 1 species